rnacentral:lncRNA from 1 species
CGGCGCUUCCGGGCCCCCGUGGCCGCCACGGCCUGGCCGGCCUGGGAUGACAAUACUUGAGGAAUCCUCGCUGGUGCUGCCCUCCUGCCCUCUGCUUGGAACCCCUCCCCUAAGUGUCAGUGAGUGGACGUAUAUAUUUGGAUCAAUCGAGUUGCACCCUUUGCCUCCCAGAUCAGUUCCUCCGGCCUCCCUGGCUGAGCAGAAGGACAGCUCUGGACACUUGUGUCAGCACCCAGCCCACGUGUCCCUGCCACAGCUUCAUAUAAGAGAAAGGAUAACAAACAGCACUUCCCCAUGGCAGAUGCUUCACAGUCCAAGACUCGGGGCCUUGAAUGGUGAGUCACAAACUUUGCAAAACGCGUGGGCCAUGACAGCCCCAGAGGCCAACAGCAGGUCCACGGCCGAGCCACAGGAGUCCUGUGGCACAGGAGUCAGGGCCCAAGGAGCACACGUUUCAGAUAGGCCAGGGUGGUGGCGUUGGCCAGCAUCUCGAUGUGCUCGCUGCCUGGCAGCUCCUGCAGCAACACUUGGUGCUCCUGGCGGCUCUGCCAGGCCUGGCACUGCAGGGCACUCUUCAAGUUCACAGUACCAUCGCCGUCACCAAAGCAGAUUUUAGGGUCACGGUCAGGGAAGCUCUCAUAGUAGAAGGAGUCUGGUGUGGGGACGCCAGUACCAUAGAGGCAGUGCAGCUGCACGCCAGGUGGCAUCGUGGCUUCCACCAGCCCUUCUGUGUCCUGCCGCAUGAGCCAGCCAUCUUCAAAGCCGAUGUCCUGGAAGAACUUGCGGUAGUCCCGCAGUGUGUAGUUGAUUGUGGGUGUCUGCACGAACACCUUCUCAGGUGACCAUGUGUAGUUGUAGGGCAGCAGCCAGCUGGUGGAGACAGCUGACCGCUGCUGCUCCCGGAUCUUCAGGGGCCCGAUGACUGGGAUCCGGUUGUUGUCUCC